CCUUCUUCUCAACUAGGCCUCAACCUCAGCCUAUAAAGAGUUGAAUAAAACACAAAUACAGUUUCUAAUAGCUCAAGGCUGCAUCUCUAGAAUGACUUUAACCCCCCCUUUAAGUGUCUGCCUGAGAAAACUCAAAACUGUCCAAAUAAUUUAUUGUGUGUUCAUCUAACAUCUGAAGAUGGGGCUCCCGCUUCCAGCCUCUGUGGGAGGGUGGGAGCCUGACUUCCACAGGCGCCAGUUAACACACCCAGAUGGUUUACGUGCACCAACUCCCCUCUUCCUGCUUUGUGUGAUUUUUUCAGUUCCCUGACUUCACUGAACCUCUGCUCACCUCCCUUUCUACUCCUUCAUUCUCUCUUUAAAAUGCACAGUCACUUCUGUACAAAUUGCUGUUGUUCAGUUCACACUGAACAGUCCUCUAUCGCAACAGUCUAUCAUGGAUUAAAAUUGCUCCUUGCCAUUUUAUCUCUGAUACCCUCACUACAAUGCAGUCUCCAGGAACUGGAUUUUUGUUUUCUCAUGAGCACAAAAUAGAGACUCAGUAAGUACUUGCUGAACCUUGUUGAUGGGUCAACAGUGGUGCAGGGGUUUUAGCCCCUAAGCCACACUUCUGGGCUGGGAUAAGCAUGUUUAAGCAUCUGGAUGAAACAUCAUUGCUCAUUUCACUCCUUAAAUAUGUGGCAAGUGACAGGCUGGACAUCGGAGAUCAUGUCGGUCUUCCUAAAGGUUUCUUCAAUUUGUUUGUUUGGUUUUGUUUUUUUUUUUUGAGAUGGAGUCUUGCUCUGUUGCCCAGGCUGGAGUGCAGUGGCAUGAUCUCGGCUCACCACAACCUCUGCAAUUCUUCAGCCUCAGCCUCCUGGGCACCAGGACUACAGGUACCUGCCACCAUGCCUGGCUCAUUUCUGGAGUUUUGGUAGAGACGGGGUUUCACCAUGUUGGCCAGGCUGGUCUCAAACUUCUGACCUCAAGUGAUCCACCUGUCUCAGCCUUCCAAAGUGCUGGGAUUAUAGGUCUGAGCCUCUGCAUCUGGCCUUCAAUUUGUUUUUAAUUCUGAUAGAGCACCAUCUGCUACAUGCUUAAUAUCAGCCAUAAACAGACAUAAAUGAGCACAGAUAGUAUGUUAAUGAAAGAUUACUACCGGGUGAAGAGCAUUUGCUUCACAGGAACUUUUCUUGUUGAUUGUUGUUAUUUCCCCACCUCUCGACCCUUUAUUUCCAUUUGCAGUCUUGGUCCUUAAUCUUCCCUUCAACUCCAGCUCCCUCAGUGACUCUCUGGGUUUCCAUUCUUAGAACUUCAUCAAAAAUGCUUUGGCUGUGAAUUCCAGUGAGUUCCUUCAGAUGCGAUCUGAAGAUGUCCUUACAGUUUUUAUCUUUAGGUUCUCUUAGGUGAUCUGGGGGCCAUUAACCUCCCUCACUGCACUCUUUCUUCUAAUUUUUUUUCCUCAGCUGUGGCUCCUUACCAUUUUCAGUUGACUACAAAUUUUCCCGAGUAUAAUCAGUUGCUUUCCAACAAAUGCUUUCUAAGCAACUACUAGGGAUGAGGCACCAUUCCAAUUAUGAAAGUCUACUACUCAAAAUGAACUCGAAGAGACGGAGACAGUCUAUACUCACAUGAAAAGUUAAAGUUUACUUUAACUGAACAAAUUAUUAAGCAAGCACUAUGCAGUAAACUUUAACUUUUCAUGUGAACAAAACUAUGUAGGAAAAUUCUGGUGAUAGCCUAGGCAAUAAUAAAUGGUCACAUUAUUAAUUCAGCCAGCAAGUCAAAGGUCUCCGUUUAGAGCUGUCGCCACCCCAUUAUGACAUUUCUCUCUUCUACAGGGUAUUUUCAAUGGGUAUUAUAGUAUCGACCACAGAUAACAAAAUUACCAUAUCUUCUUAUUGCAGCCUCAACCCUGUUUUCCAACAGCUUCAUAAUUAUCAUUGCCACCACCGACAUUCUGAUACUCAGGUGUAUCUCGGCAUUUCCGGUCUCCCUACAAAGAGAUUCCUAUGUUCAACCCACGGAGGCAGUAGUUUCCAAGGUCUCCCUUCCUUCCUCUUCCUGCCAUCACAGCCCUGGUUUCGAUGUCAAGAAACCCAGCUCAUCUUGCUCAGCCUCACCUUUUUCCAGUCUACAAAAGGCAUGACAGACACGGAGAAAUGAAGAAUUAAAAAUGCUCCACAAUUGUAACACUUUUCAAAAGUCCAAAGGAAUCCACACUUGUCUGAGGUUUUACUUUCCACAGUGAAAUAAGACAUUAGGCUUUUCUCCGUGACACGUAUGCUUCCCAGAUGCCCUGGAAUUCCCCAGACCCCUAGGACAAGGAGGAGCCCCCAGAGAGCUUUCUUCCUUCCUCUGCCAUGUGGGGACACAGCAAGAAGAUGGCCAGCUAUGAACCAGGAAGCAGGCCUUCACCAAACACUGAAUCUGCCAGUGUCUUGUUCUUGAACUUCCAGCCUCCAGAACU